rnacentral:tRNA from 1 species
UGUAGCUUAGUGGUAAAGCAUUUUCCUGGCAUGCACAAGGCCCUGAGUUCAGUUCUCAGCA